rnacentral:rRNA from 1 species
CAGUAGUCACGAGUUUGAUCCUGGCUCAAGAACGAACGCUGGCGGCAUGCCUAACACAUGCAAGUCGAACGAGACCUUCGGGUCUAGUGGCGCACGGGUGCGUAACGCGUGGGAAUCUGCCCUUAGGUUCGGAAUAACUUCGGGAAACUGAAGCUAAUACCGGAUGAUGACGUAAGUCCAAAGAUUUAUCGCCUAAGGAUGAGCCCGCGUUGGAUUAGCUAGUUGGUGAGGUAAAGGCUCACCAAGGCGACGAUCCAUAGCUGGUCUGAGAGGAUGAUCAGCCACACUGGGACUGAGACACGGCCCAGACUCCUACGGGAGGCAGCAGUGGGGAAUAUUGGACAAUGGGCGAAAGCCUGAUCCAGCAAUGCCGCGUGAGUGAUGAAGGCCUUCGGGUUGUAAAGCUCUUUUACUCGGGACGAUAAUGACGGUACCGAGAGAAUAAGCCCCGGCUAACUCCGUG